rnacentral:rRNA from 1 species
CCUACGGGCGGCAGCAGUGGGGAAUAUUGGACAAUGGGCGAAAGCCUGAUCCAGCCAUGCCGCGUGUGUGAAGAAGGCCUUCGGGUUGUAAAGCACUUUCAGUGGGGAAGAAAGCCUUGGGGCUAAUACCCUCGAGGAAGGACAUCACCCACAGAAGAAGCACCGGCUAACUCCGUGCCAGCAGCCGCGGUAAUACGGAGGGUGCGAGCGUUAAUCGGAAUUACUGGGCGUAAAGCGCGCGUAGGCGGUCUGAUAAGCCGGUUGUGAAAGCCCCGGGCUCAACCUGGGAACGGCAUCCGGAACUGUCAGGCUAGAGUGCAGGAGAGGAAGGUAGAAUUCCCGGUGUAGCGGGGAAAUGCGUAGAGAUCGGGAGGAAUACCAGUGGCGAAGGCGGCCUUCUGGACUGACACUGACGCUGAGGUGCGAAAGCGUGGGUAGCAAACAGGAUUAGAUACCCUUGUAGUC